CCAUGUGAAUGAUGAAAUCACAAGUCAAAUACAGUUAUCCCUGUCUGAUUCCUUCUAAAGGGUGCUGAUAAUACUUAAAUCUGAUACAUUG
rnacentral:snoRNA from 1 species